UACGGAGGGUGCAAGCGUUAUCCGGAAUUACUGGGUUUAAAGGGUGCGUAGGCGGCUUGAUAAGUCAGAGGUGAAAGCCUAUCGCUUAACGAUAGAAUUGCCUUUGAUACUGUAAAGCUUGAAAGGGGUUGAGGUCAGCAGAAUGUGGCAUGUAGCGGUGAAAUGCAUAGAUAUGCCAUAGAACACCGAUUGCGAAGGUAGUUGGCUGGGCCUUCUUUGACUCUCCGGCACGAUAGCGUGGGGAGCGAACAGG
rnacentral:rRNA from 1 species